AGGUCAAGCUAAUAAGAGCGCAAGGGGAAUGCCUUGGCAUCAGGAGCCGACGAAGGACGUGGCAAGCUGCGAUAAGCUUCGGGGAGGCGCAAACAGCCUUUGAUCCGGAGAUUUCCGAAUGGGGAAACCCGGCAGUGCAAUACACUGUCAUCCUGCGUUG
rnacentral:rRNA from 1 species